rnacentral:rRNA from 1 species
UGGUGGAGCGAUUUGUCUGGUUAAUUCCGAUAACGAACGAGACUCUAGCCUAUUAAAUAGUUCGCCGAUCACGUUACGUCGGCGUCAACUUCUUAGAGG